rnacentral:lncRNA from 1 species
GAUUUGUGCCAAGUGGCAAAAUCUAGUGAAGAGAGAGAGUGUUAAGUGGAAGAGGAGUGAUUUGAUACGGCAUUAUGGCAGUAUAAAAAAAAAGAAGAAUUCCUCCACCGGCGGCAACUUUCCACCUAAGGCGGUGACACACUACUCGAGGUAGUGCAUGGCACCAAGGGGGUGGCGGCACACUAUCUGAGGUGACAGUGCACCUCACCUAGGCCGGCCACGUGUUGCAAGCCUAGCCUCCUGGCAGUGGCCUACCUUACCACGUGCAGGAGCUAGCCUGCGCUUGUGUAGAGCCUUCUUCAUGCAGGCCCAAAUGCAUAGGCUUAUCCGCACAGGCCUACUGCGUGGACAGCGAGCACAUAGGGUGUGGUGCCUGGCCCUAUCCAUGCGCAAUGUGACGCAC